rnacentral:rRNA from 1 species
GAUGAACGCUGGCGGCGUGCCUAAUACAUGCCAGUCGAGCGAACAGACGAGGAGCUUGCUCCUUUGACGUUAGCGGCGGACGGGUGAGUAACACGUGGGUAACCUACCUAUAAGACUGGGAUAACUUCGGGAAACCGGAGCUAAUACCGGAUAAUAUUUCGAACCGCAUGGUUCGAUAGUGAAAGAUGGCUUUGCUAUCACUUAUAGAUGGACCUGCGCCGUAUUAGCUAGUUGGUAGGGUAACGGCUUACCAAGGCAACGAUACGUAGCCGACCUGAGAGGGGGUUGGACCACACAGAAGGGGAGAGACGCUCCGAACUCUAACGGGGGGCGCCGGUGGGGAAUCUACGGCACUGGGGGAAGGCGUAAGGGGCAACGGCGCCGUGGGUGAGAAGGGGGUUGGGGUGUUAAAACCCUGUUUUGCGGGAGAAGCAAACGUGUAGGUAACGGGGCAGGUUUGAAGGUAACUGAAUAAGAAGCCCCGGCUAACUACGUG